AUUGAACGCUGGCGGCAUGCUUUACACAUGCAAGUCGAACGGCAGCACAGGGUGCUUGUUCCUGGGUGGCGAGUGGCGCACGGGUGAGUAAUGUAUCGGAACGUGCCUGGAAUUGGGGGGUAACUUCAUAAAAGAGUGGCUAAUACCGAAUGAGAUCAUUGCACGAAAGCGGGGGACCUUCGGUCCUUGUGUUACUGGAGCGGUAGGAGUUUGCUAAGGCUGUUAGCGGGGUCAAGGCCUACCAAGCCGGCGAUCUGUAGCUGAUCUGAGAGGGCGACCAGCGACACUGCGAGUGAGACACGGCCCAGACUGCUACGGGGGGCAGCAGUGGGGAAUUUUGGACAAUGGGAGCGAGCCUGAUCCAGCAAUGCCGCGUGCAGGACGAAGGCCUUCGGGUUGUAAAGUGCUUUGGUACAGGAUGAAAAGCCUCUGGCUAAUAUCUAGAGAUCAUGACGGUACCGUAAGAAUAAGCACCGGCUAACUACGUG
rnacentral:rRNA from 1 species